AUUGAACGCUGGCGGCAGGCCUAACACAUGCAAGUCGAGCGGUAGAGAGGUGCUUGCAUCUCUUGAGAGCGGCGGACGGGUGAGUAAUGCCUAGGAAUCUGCCUAGUGGUGGGGGAUAACGUUCGGAAACGGACGCUAAUACCGCAUACGUCCUACGGGAGAAAGCGGGGGGAUCUUCGGACCUCGCGCCAUUAGAUGAGCCUAGGUCGGAUUAGCUAGUUGGUGAGGUAAUGGCUCACCAAGGCGACGAUUCGUAACUGGUCUGAGAGGAUGAUCAGUCACACUGGAACUGAGACACGGUCCAGACUCCUACGGGAGGCAGCAGUGGGGAAUAUUGGACAAUGGGCGAAAGCCUGAUCCAGCCAUGCCGCGUGUGUGAAGAAGGUCUUCGGAUUGUAAAGCACUUUAAGUUGGGAGGAGGUAGUAACCUAAUACGUUGCUACUUGACGUUACCGACAGAAUAAG
rnacentral:rRNA from 1 species